rnacentral:rRNA from 1 species
AUCAACUUUCGAUUGGUAGGAUAGAGGCCUACCAUGGUGGUAACGGGUAACGGGGUGUUAGGGCACGACACCGGAGAGGGAGCCUGAGAAACGGCUACCACAUCCAAGGAUGGCAGCAGGCGCGCAAAUUACCCAAUCCCGACACGGGGAGGUAGUGACAAUAAAUAACAAUACGGGGUUCUUUCGGAUUUCGUAAUUGGAAUGAGUACAAUUUAAAUCUCUUAACGAGGAACAAUUGGAGGGCAAGUCUGGUGCCAGCAGCCGCGGUAAUUCCAGCUCCAAUAGCGUAUAUUAAAGUUGCUGCAGUUAAAAAGCUCGUAGUUGAAUUUCGGGACCAAUAUGUCGGUCGUGCCUCGGUACGUACUGGCAUCGUUGGUUUCUCCCUUCUGAAGAACCAUGAUGUCAUUUAUUUGGUGUCGUGGGGAAUCAGGACUGUUACUUUGAAAAAAUUAGAGUGUUUAAAGCAGGCUCACGCUUGAAUACAUUAGCAUGGAAUAAUGAAAUAGGACGUUUGAUUCUAUUUUGUUGGUUUCUAGGAUCGACGUAAUGAUUAAUAGGGAUAGUUGGGGGCAUUAGUAUUCAAUUGUCAGAGAUGAAAUUCUUGGAUUUAUUGAAGACUAACUACUGCGAAAGCAUUUGCCAAGGAUGUUUUCAUUAAUCAAGAACGAAAGUUAGGGGAUCGAAGACGAUCAGAUACCGUCGUAGUCUUAACCAUAAACUAUGCCGACUAGGGAUCGGAUGAUGUUAAUUUUUUAACGACUCAUUCGGCGCCUUACGGGAAACCAAAGUGUUUGGGUUC